UUCCGGUUGAUCCUGCCGGACCCCACUGCUAUCGGGAUAGGACUAAGACAUGCUAGUCGAGUGGCUCAGCCAAUACGAGCCACGGCAUACAGCUCAGUAACACGUGGCUAAUCUGCCCUUAGGACGAGAACAACCCCGGGAAACUGGGGCUAACUCUCGAUAGGCGAAGAACUCUGGAAUGAGUCUUCACCUAAAUAGUUCGGCGUUACGCUCGUUGAACCGCCUAAGGAUGAGGCCACGACCGAUCAGGUUGUUGGUGAGGUAAUGGCUCACCAAGCCUUUUACCGGUGCGGGCCGUGAGAGCGGGAGCCCGGAGAUGGGCACUGAGACAAGGGCCCAGGCCCUACGGGGCGCAGCAGUCGCGAAAACUUUGCAAUACACGAAAGUGUGACAGGGCUAUCCCGAGUGCCAUCCGCUGAGGAAGGCUUUUACCCAGUCUAGAAAGCUGGGGGAAUAAGGAGAGGGCAAGUCUGGUGUCAGCCGCCGCGGUAAUACCAGCUCUCCGAGUGGUGUGGAUGUUUAUUGGGCCUAAAGCAUCCGUAGCUGGCUAAGUUAGUCCCUUGUUAAAUCCACCGAAUUAAUCGUUGGAUUGCGGGGGAUACUGCUUAGCUAGGGGACGAGAGAGGCAGACGGUAUUUCCGGGGUAGGGGUGAAAUCCUAUAAUCCCGGGGAGACCACCAGUGGCGAAGCUGUCUGCUAGAACGCGCCCGACGGUGAGGAUGAAAGCUGGGGGAGCGAACCGGAUUAAUACCCGGGUAGUCCCAGCUGUAAACGAUGCAAACUAGGUGUUUGAACGGCCACGUGCCGUUCUAGUGCCGCAGGGAAGCUGUUAAGUUUGCCGCCUGGGGAGUACGAUCGCAAGAUUGAAACUUAAAGGAAUUGGCGGGGGAGCACCACAAGGGGUGAAGCUGCGGUUAAUUGGAGUCAACGCCGG
rnacentral:rRNA from 1 species